UUGAAAAGCGGUCUAUAAAUAUUUGCCACAUUCGUAUUUGUAAUCAGUGGCUCCAAAAUUACCUCCAAAAUUACCUCUGUUCUUAAUCAUCAUAUCCCUAUUCGUAGGAGUUGCUCUGAAGCAGGGUUUCCCAACCCUGUGGUCCUCCAGAUGUUGCUGAACUACAACUCCCAUAAUCCUCAGCCAUCAUCACUAGUAGCCAGAGAAGAUGGGAGUUGUAGUUCAGUCACAUUUGGAGGGCCACAGGUUGGGAACCCCUGCUCUAAAGGAUUAUUUAAUUUUUCUAGAACUACUCAGAAGUAACUUAGCCGGGCUGCCAGCCACCGGGAGCAAAGAGUGGCUCAGACUCACUCCUUUAUCAAAUGGCUCACUCCAGGAGCAAAUUUGUCAGUUGCUAAGGCUACUGCAGACUGCUUAUUAGCGGCAGUGAUGCUUCUGGUUGAGGAAGUUUGCUGCCACACAAAUUGAAACUUUAAAAGACCCAGCAUGCCUUUGCAGCUGCGUCUCUCAUCUGUCCUCAUUUUAAAAUCCUUGCCAGGCGCCACGGAAAACAAUUUAUUUCUGGGGUGUGAUUCAGGUUCCUGUUUUGCAUCUUGGGCCUCAGAGCCAGUGCUCAGGGAUUCAUUAGAACUUGUGACAAAAAGCUGCUCAGGUAGUUAAGUCUCUGCCAAAUGGUCCGCAUCCUAACUUCCUGCAUAACCAUCUUUUUUUCUCUUUUUGCCGUCCUGAAAAAUCAGCAGAUCUCUUCUCUAGUCAUUUAAGAGAGAGAGGCGAUGAAGAAAUGCCAUCUAGAAUCCUCGCGUAUCUUGAUCAAAACCAACAGAGUUUCAGCCUUGGAAGAUUUCUCCUCAUCCGAACCCUGUUAGCAAUUUAAAAUCCAACCUGUGCCCAAGGAUGGAUUGGUCCCAGCAGGAUGGUUGGGCCAAGAGGAGAUCACAGAAGAGGAUGAGAUCACAGAAGAGGAUAAUUGUGCAAAGAGGAUGAGAUCACAGAAAAGGAUAAUUGUGCAAAUAGCUUCAUCCACUCAUGUAGUGAUCACAUCUUCUGAAUGGAAAGCAGCCUUCAGUGCUGAUCAAGUGCUUACUGAACUUAAACCUUACAUAACUAAUGGGUGGCCAUACAAAAACCAGGUACCUGAACAUCUUCAGCCAUGCAUGCACAUUGUGAGUGAAUUGUCCCUUCUCAAUGAGUUGGUGCUGAGGACUGAUCGUUUGGUGGUGCCAAACUCCUUACAAGCAAAAGUGAUCAAAAUUGCCAUGAAGGUCACCUGGGCAUGAGCUUGACUAAAAGGCGAAUCAGAGAAAGUUUCUAGUGGCCAGAUAUGGACAAACACAUUGAAGAAGAUGUAAUUAGGCACUGCAUGGCUUGUGCCGUAUCUGACAAAUCUCAGAAGACUUUUCCCACCCCAUUGACUCCAUUAGAAUAUCCCAAUGGUUCCUGGAAAAACUUGCUCUGGAUAUAAUGGGGACUUUUGAUAAACAAUCCACAAAACAAAGAUUUGUUAUAGUGAUGGUGGAUUACUAUUCCAAGUGGCAAGAAGUUUCAUUUGUUGACAACAUUACUGCAAACAAGGUGAUCCAGUUCAUGGCUGCAGUUUUUGCAAGAGAAGGUCUAGUGACUGACAAUGGGACACAGUUUACUUUAUUUGAAAUUGAGUAAUACUUGCAUGGCCAUGAGCUAAAACACAAGACUCUUUCCUUGUACCACCCUCGAGGCAAUGGCUGUGAAGAGAAUGAACCGGUUAGCGAAGGAAAGUUUACAACUGGCUACUAUGCAACCUUGGAAAGAGGCAAUCCAUCAAACUUUAUUUGCUUAUUCAACUACUCCUCAUUCUACUACAGGAAAAUCACCAUUUGAACUAUUGAGAGGAUGCAAAGCUACCACCAAAUUUACCCAAUGGCAACAACUGAUAGGGCUUUCCAUGUCAUCUCACCCUGAGGAUGCAAAGGUUCAUGAUUGGGUAAGGGAGAAGCAACAAAAAUAGAAAUUGUAUGUGGAUCAGAAAUGGGGAGUGAAACAGCGAUUAUUUCAGGUAGGGGACUUUGUUUGAGUAUGGUUGCCUUAUAAAGUGAGAAAGGGAUGUUCCUGAUAUCCUGGACUAAAACAAACAAUUGAAAUCCAAGGAGAUACUGUCCUAUUGGAUGAUGGAAAGAAAUGGAACAGUUUGAAACUUUCAAGCAUGCAUGCUAUGAGAAAAGAGGGAAGGGAGUCUGAUCUCAAGAGAGGAACUGAAGAAGAAUUUGAUCAUGCCUCUAGUUCUGACCUCAGAUGAGGCUGAUGAAAGUGAUGGAUAAUCCUCUGUACCAGAAGAAAAACCACAAAGCUCCUGUGUCAGCAGAGACCCCAAGAAAUAGGAGAAGUGUGUGUGACAGGAGUCCAUCUCAAAGACUUCAAGACUUUGUCACUGAAUUUUAAAUCAGUUCAAUUCAAUUGUUAUGAAGGGGAGGGGUGCGUUGUAUUUUAUCUUGUAGGCUUUUAUGUUUUGUGAUUUUAGAAGUUUGUUCCAGUGGGGAUUCUGUAGAGAGUGUGGUGGAUGGAGUCAGAAAGAAAAAGGAGAGAAAGGAGGACGAGAAAAAUAAAGUUGCUUUUGAAUAAAGGCUCA